CCUACGGGUGACAGCAGUGAGGAAUAUUGGUCAAUGGACGAGAGUCUGAACCAGCCAAGUAGCGUGAAGGAUGACUGCCCUAUGGGUUGUAAACUUCUUUUAUAUGGGAAUAAAAUGUUCCACGUGUGGGAUUUUGUAUGUACCAUAUGAAUAAGGAUCGGCUAACUCCGUGCCAGCAGCCGCGGUAAUACGGAGGAUCCGAGCGUUAUCCGGAUUUAUUGGGUUUAAAGGGAGCGUAGGUGGAUUGUUAAGUCAGUUGUGAAAGUUUGCGGCUCAACCGUAAAAUUGCAGUUGAAACUGGCAGUCUUGAGUACAGGAGAGGUGAGCGGAAUUCGUGGUGUAGCGGUGAAAUGCUUAGAUAUCACGAAGAACUCCGAUUGCGAAGGCAGUUCACUGGACUGCAACUGACACUGAGGCUCGAAAGUGUGGGUAUCAAACAGGAUUAAAUACCCGAGUAGUC
rnacentral:rRNA from 1 species